UAAAUUCCCAGAACAAUGAUGUGAAGGGUUCCUACUCAAGCUUCAUAUUGAAGCUGCAAAAAUAUAACGUAAUCUAUUUUACAUACUGUUUCCUUUAACUCCAGUAAAUCGUUGCAGCAUUUUCAGAAAUUAUUCUCGUUGAUAUCGAAUCCGUCUCAUUGACUCGCAGCCCGGUGGCGGUUUUUUUUCUUGAGGCGUCUCAGCAAGAACUCAUCUUUCCCGUGUUUUGUGGGGAAAAUCAUUUAUUUUGUAGAAGCCAGGCGAAGCUUCAGUGCAGCUGCAACUCUGUCAUGGAGCCCAAAAGUUUCCAAAACUCCCUCCUGCAUAAAAAGUCAGCGUCAAACCCACGCCACCAAAAACUACAGGCGUACACCUCCACAACCAGCCCACACCAGCACCCCCACCAGCACCAGCAAGGCGGCGUGGACUUCAAAAGAGAGCGACUGGCGUGAGACCAAAGUCAAACGACAGCUCCGCGCUCAACCGGCCAUCAUGGCUGCUUCUUUACCUCUGUCCUCUCGCUCAGUGGCUUCAAUGAAUGGAAACUGCUGCGGUUAGGAGAUAAAUGUGUUUACAUGACUUCUGCUGGUGACCUCUGACCUCUGACCUCUGAAGGUGUUAAGCUCUAGUCUGAUGCUCUUAUCUACAUGAAGGUUACACUUGUUUGAUUUCUGCAGAGGUGUAAAGAUGUAACUGGAUCAGUGGGAAUGAAGCUGGAUCACAAAAUACAUCAAAUAUUCUAUCUCCC